AAGGUUAUUAUCUAAUAAAACCUAAUUUACACCAACUCUGUAAUACCUACAAUGAACUAGUGCUUAUGGUUCUUUACAUUCGCAGGAGAAGUUACACUGUACAUGGAGAACUUGAAACCUGAUAAACACUAAUUGAAGACAUUUGGAUCAGCGUGUGAGAAAACCAAACCGCCAUCAAAUCUUCACAGCUAGAUGAUCAAGAAAUAAAUUCUAAAACUAUGUA